rnacentral:lncRNA from 1 species
CAAAAACACACACACACACUGAAGAAACGGGCAGAGAGCUGGAGACCAAAAAUAGGGAGAAAAACUAAGGAAAAUAAGAGAAGAAAAAGAGAAAGAAGGAAGAAAUGAAGAGAAGGGAAGAAGAGGAAGUGAGGUAAGGUUAUUUUCUCCAAGUUUUGGGUUUAAUUUAUCCAUUGUUCCAAGUGAUUAAGGUGUGAUUUAGGUUAAAUUUUUAGGGUUUUAACUUGUAGUAAUAAAAUGUCAAAUUUAGAUGAUAUAUGUAUGAUUUGAAGCUCAAGUUUGGGGAUUAAUUUUGUUUCGGUUUCAGCAAGGUAGGCAAUAAUUUUUUUGGGACAACCCUAGAAUUCGAUUUCGGAUUUUUGUUUAAUUAAUUGUGGAAAUGAUUAUAUUUAUGGAAUAUUUCACUUGGGAGUUGAUUUUAUGGAACAAAAUGUUUAUUAAAUGGGUGGAAUUAUGGUUACUAGUUUCACUAGAUUGGAGAGUAAAAUUAGUUUUAAAAUUGGGAAGAAGGUUAUGUUGAUGAAUUAGUUAUUAGACAAGGGAUUAGAAAGUAGGAUUAGCUCCAAUUGAUCAAAGGAUUAUUUGGAAAAUUCAUUCGAGCAUCGACCAAUUUUAGUUAAGUAUUAUAGAAGUAGAUCUUAAAGUUUCUUAAUUUAAUAGUGCUUGAUUAGUCAUCUUGUUAUGUAUUCUAGGUGGUGACGAGGAGAUUGGAAGAGCAUAUCGACCAUCUUAGGUUCAGCUUGUAUUAUGUGAGUGGAUAAGCUUAUUUUUCAAGAAAUUAGUAUUUAUUUAAUUUUUAUUAACUCAGAAAAUUUAUUAAUUCAUACAGUCGAUUUGAAAACAGAUUUUCAAAAUAAAGUUUAUUUAUAACCGUUUGUUUUUAAAAGUUAAAUUCAAUUUAGUAAAUCAUUUUAUUGGCAUGUUAUAUGAGUAUUAAAUGUUUCAGCAUAUUUAAAGUUAUUUUCUAAAAACCACCAGAAAGUACCUAGGUAAUUUUACCCUCAUCUGCACUGGUGUGAAUGUGUUUCCAUAGUGUAUGACUUCAUAUGGUUAUUUUACUCACUCUGCGCUGGUGUGAAUAUGUUUCCAUAGCGUAUGAUAAGUAUAGUGAUUUUACCCGCUCAGCACUAUUGUGAAUGUGUUUCCAUAGUGUAUGACCAUUUUAUAGCUCUGCGAGCGUACGACCAGAAUUACAUAAUUUUAGAAUUGAAUAACCUUGCUAUGUAUAUCAAGAUUAAUCGAUACACGAGUUUGGUUAUUUCGGGUAUAUUUUUGGUGUGAUGUUUCAGUACUACAUAGAUUAUCAGAUUUUAGAAAUGCAAUAUACAGAAUAAGGAUGUUUAUGAUUACAGUAUAUUUUAGUUUUAAUAGUAUUAUCAGAUUUUAAAUUACAGAAUUCAGCUUAUUCAGUUUAAAGAAUAAAUAUUUUAGUUUAUAUGUCUGCGAAAAGAAAUUUAAUGCUAUAUGUCGGUUUUCAGAAAGAUUUUAUGAAUGGAAAAGUAUAUUUUUACAAAUAUCCACUCACUGAGUUAUAGGGCUAUAAGCAAAAACUGCCAAACCGAAAAAUCGAACUGAAAUCGCAUUUUAGAAACUGUCGAUUUGGUGCCACGUGGACGCUGUCAACGAAAUAGUUUUGACCCAAACCAAACCGGUCAAAAUGGUUUGGUUUAGGCUUGAGAAUUUUAAUUGCGAUUUAAAACCAAACCGGACCGGCGAAAAAAUAAAAAAAUGAAAAAAUGAAUUUUUUUUGAAAAUUCAUCCAAAUAUGUAAAAUUCAAUAGUUUCAUUUGUAGGUAUUUUUGUCAAUUUCUAAUUUUCUAAUAUAGAUAUAUUAUUAUUAUUAUUAUUAUUGUUAUUAUCAUCCAAUAAUCCUAAUAUAUAUCCACUAAUCUUAAGACUAACAUAAUCUAUCAAAAGUCAUUUUCCUCUUCAAAUUUUAGAUGAACUUAGCCGACAUCCAACACAGUCUUGAGCCAUCGACACCAUACACUUCUUUUUCAGAUUUUUCACGUCUCUUCAAAGUUGAAUAGUAGUCUAUUAUACCAAAUCGAAGACAAAGAGAUCCUAGACAUUCGGUGAUAAUAUUUGCUACGAAUAGAGUUUAAGAUCAAUAAUUUUUUUUGGAACAAACUAAGGUAAGAAUCUGAAAUUAAAUGUGUUUCGUAACAUCAUACAAAUGUAAACUUGUGUAAUUGUUAUGUUUAGAUAUUAUAAAUAAUUAUUUUAUUAUUUGUGGUUGGUUAUUCUCUUUGUUUCAUCAGUAUAUUUUUUGUAGAUAUGAUGAUCACGAGGUCUUAUUGGACAUCAUUAUAUUUUUUGGGCCUUAUAUCUAAUUUAGUAGACUUAUAUUGUAACGUUAUUAUAUCGUCAUUAGCCUGAAAAAGGUGAACAAAAAUGAAAAAAACUAUGUUUUAGUUUAUUGUAAUUUUUCUUUGAUUUAGUUGGUAUUUAAAUUUAUAUUAGAUAUAUUUAGACUCUGUUUGAGCCAUAUUUUUCAUAUCAUCAUAACGAGAAAAUUAAUCGUUAGAGAGGAGGCUAGGUUCUACACAUGAAACAGAAGGUCAACAAAGGCAGUUGGACUUGUGGGAUAAUGGUCCAAAUUUUCAUUUUUUUGUUCCAAAAAUUUGGUUCAAACAGGGGUUUCGUUUGUUUUAGAUUUAUUGCUAGUAAAAUAUAAAUAUAUAUUGAAUUCAAUGAAUUAAUGAUAUAAAAGUAGACGAAAAAAAAUAUAUGGGGAAACCGACGGUUUAAAAUUGGACCAAACCAUUAGGUUUAGGUUUGAGUUUUUUUCAAACCGUUCAAAAUGGUUUGGUUUAGGUUUGGGUUUUUCUCAAACUGAUUUGAACUGUUUGGUUUGAAAAUCUGUCAAAAAUCGGAAAAAUCGGAUCGCUUACACCCCUACUAAGUUAUAGGCUCACAUUUUUUAUCACUAUUUCUCUUAUCAGAUAGUAGCUGAGUUGAGCACUACUAGGCCAGUUGAUCUAUCGAGUUGAGCCAUAAAUUGUCAAGCAUUGUAUGAAUGAUCUUUUCAGUUUAAUAGUUCAUAUUUUGGGAUAAACACCUCUUUUGGUCAGAAAUUAGUUCCAUGUGUUGGGCCUGCUAUGUUUUGUCUAUAUAUUAUGCAUUUUAGAUACUGUUGUUUAGAAAUUGUUGUAAAAGUCGAAUUGCCAGUAUUGUAUUUGAAUAGUCGAUAUUUUGAGGGGUAGGUUUACCAUAUUUUAAACUAUAUGUACAUGUUUGGGAUAUUUGAUCUUAUUUCCAUGUGGUUUUAGUUUAUUUUUCAGAGAGAACUCUACCGAAAUUUUUAUAAAAUUAUAACAGUCAAAGCAUGUCAAGUUUGCUUUGGUGGUGGGUCCGGUACUUUGCUGGUAUCUACCAUCGACGCACGACACAUGUCAG